GACAGAGGAGCCAAGCGUUGUCCGGAUUGACUGGGCGUAAAGCGCACGCAGGCGGCUCGGCGCGUGGGGUGUGAAAGCUGGCGGCUUAACUGCCAGACGCCAUCCCAUACGGCUGGGCUCGAGCCCUGCAGAGGUCCAUGGAAUUGCCGGUGUGGUGGUGAAAUGCGUAGAGAUCGGCAGGAACACCCAGGGGGAAACCAGUGGACUGGGCAGGAGCUGACGCUCAGGUGCGAAAGCGUGGGGAGCGAACCGG
rnacentral:rRNA from 1 species